rnacentral:tRNA from 3 species
GGAGGGAUGGCAGAGCGGUUGAAUGCACUGGUCUUGAAAACCAGCAAGGUGUAACAGCCUUCCAGGGUUCGAAUCCCUGUCCCUCCGCCA